ensembl:lncRNA
GGAAGUGUUUCAGCUGAAGCGUGAGGGGCGUUGUGCUGAGGAGCCGGGAUGGCACCCGGCAGUCUCUAGCAAGGUGCCUGCCUCUCAGACCACGGUGACUUCCAGCAGGGCUGGACGGGAAGGCAGUCACAAUCCCUGUGCUAACCAGGAUGUCUGGUCUCCAGAGGGCAGGCAGGAGGCUCAGGACUGGGAGGAAUCCCCUCUGAAAGCCGGAGGGAGGUGUUCUCGGGGACUUGGGACCUCUGAGCCUCCUCCCACAGAAACCACAGUCAGCGCCUGUUCCGGGGAGCUCCUGCAGUGGUUUAUCGGAGGUGGCUGUGCCCUCCCCUCUGCCGGGGAAGGGCCCGAUGGAGUGGCCUCGUGUAGGGGAGUGGGGUCAACAUGGGCCCCGGGCUCUCCAAGGCAGACUCAGCCCUGCAAGUGAGGAGAAGUAGGCUGCGGAACCGGGCUGUGCUGAAGGGCCCCGACUCUCCGACCCAAAGAGAAGCUCACGUGGGGGCCGAGGUGCAUGCAGCUGCCGCCCGGACGUCCGUCUGACCCACGUGGACGUCUGCAGAGUCCGUGAGCGCGAUGACAAAACAAAGCCUUCUCUGAACACCAUGGAGAUUACACACUGGAGUCUCCCAAGCUCCCAAGGCCCCUUAUUUCGUGUCUUCUGCCAGGAUCUCAACCUUGGAAGAGACACCGUGACUUGAGCCAGGGAACCCGUAACUCUUUUGGCGUCCUUGCUCCUCAGAAUCCACACCCUGAAGUCCUGGGGUGAAGCGGACCCUCUGGGGACAAGGUGCCCAAGGCUUUGAGGAUGGGGCGGAGCAGUGUUGCAGGCUCCAGCAUCAGAAGCUCCAUGCCAUGCGGGCUCUCCCCAUAUCUCAGGUCCAUCCAUCUCAAGCACUAAUACACAGCAGAUGCACAUGUUACAGACCCAGAGGUCAUCUGGAAAGCUGCUCGAGGCUUGCCCCCUUGAGAACGUGUUGUCCUGGGUCUCUGCAGGGCUGCGGGAGCUCGGUGUCCAGCACCCCUCAAGUCCUCCAUCCUGGCCUUCUGGAGGCUGCAUACUGGGAUCUCCGCCCCUCCCCUGACCGAUGGUCCUCAGAGCAGGAAAGCCAGGAUGAGUGUGAAACUGUAAGCUCAUCCACCACUAUUAUUUUUAAUUGAAAAGAUCUAGGA